CUACUUCCUCUGGGUUCAGUGUGCACUGGAGCAGAAGUAGCCAAUUCCUCCCUGAAGAUGGCAAGCCCUGGGUUCCUGAGGUGCCCUGACAGCGUUUGUGUGGUUUCUGCUUGCACUGAUGGCAUCUUCUGACCUCCUGAGAACUCCUGAGGACUGCGGAUGGCUCAAUCAUGUACCACCCUGCAGAUCACUGAAUGAUAACAAGACUGAGGAUUUACAGUGGAUUCAAGGUGCUUCUCUGCUCUGGAAUU
rnacentral:lncRNA from 1 species